rnacentral:misc_RNA from 1 species
AACGCACAUUGCGCCCCUUGGUAUUCCGAGGGGCAUGCCUGUUCGAGCGUCAUUUAAACCAAUCCAGCUUGCUGGGUCUUGGGCUUUCGCCUUUGGGCGGGCCUUAAAAUCAGUGGCGGUGCUGCCAGGCUCUAAGCGUAGUAAUUCUUCUCGCUAUAGGGUCCUGGUGGAGGCUUGCCAACAACCCCAAAUUUUCAAAGGUUGACCUCGGAUCAGGUAGGGAUACCCGCUGAACUUAA